AGCCAGUGUGGUGUAAUGGUUAGAGUGUUGGACUAGGACUCGAGAGACCUGGGUUCGAAUCCUCGCUUGGCCA